rnacentral:rRNA from 1 species
GACGUAGGGCGCGAGCGUUUGUCCGGAUUUAUUGGGCGUAAAGAGCUCGUAGGCGGUUUGUUACGUCGUUCGUGAAAACUUGGGGCUCAACUCCAAGCUUGCGGUCGAUACGGGCAGGCUAGAGUUCGGUAGGGGAGACUGGAAUUCCUGGUGUAGCGGUGAAAUGCGCAGAUAUCAGGAGGAACACCGGUGGCGAAGGCGGGUCUCUGGGCCGAUACUGACGCUGAGGAGCGAAAGCGUGGGGAGCGAACAGG